UACGUAGGGUCCGAGCGUUGUCCGGAAUUACUGGACGUAAAGAGCUCGUAGGUGGUUUGUCGCGUUGUUCGUGAAAACUCACAGCUCAACUGUGGGCGUGCGGGCGAUACGGGCAGACUUGAGUACUGCAGGGGAGACUGGAAUUCCUGGUGUAGCGGUGGAAUGCGCAGAUAUCAGGAGGAACACCGGUGGCGAAGGCGGGUCUCUGGGCAUUAACUGACGCUGAGGAGCGAAAGCAUGGGGAGCGAACAGG
rnacentral:rRNA from 1 species